UAGUGCAAUCAAUGUUUACAUUAUACAACACAAAUAAACAACUUUGAAAACAAAAUUACAUUGAGAAUACACACUUACAUAUUGAAAACAAGUUGACAUUUCACAAAACACAUUAACAAAUGUAAAAACAACUCUACAAAACACAUAGGGCAACUGACAUUAACAAGUUUGAAAACAAAAUUACAUUUGCAUUACACACUUUCAUCUUUAAAAAACGAAUUACUAUUUCAUAAAACACAUUAAUAAAUGUACAACAAACAAAACAAAAAACAAAUCUAAAAUACAUUACAAAUAAUCUAAAAUACAUUUCAAUGAUCUGACAAAAAAAAACCUUUGAUACAAAUCACAUUAACAAGUUUGGAAACAAAAUUAGCCUACAUUUACAAUAUCUUACUUGAAAAAAAAAAAGAAAACAUUUCAUUAAACACAUUUGCAAAUGUGAAAGCAAAUGAACAAAACACAAAAGCAAACUGCGAGACACAUUUACAUUUCACGAAACACAAAGCAAAUUAACAAAACACAAAAGCAAACUGCGAGACACAUUUACAUUUCACGAAACACAAACGCAAACUCCAAAAACACAUUACAUUAACGAAAUUUCUUACGGAAGUAAGAAAUUUCUUACGGAAGUGAGAAAUUUCUUACGGAAGUGGUGUAGGUGCCCAACGCGUUCCUCCUGCCUGAUCCGUUCCCUAAUGGGGCGUCAGGAAAGCGGACGUGACGAAACAGGAAAUAGUGAGGAAUAAUUACAUACUUUCAGCGAGUGGAUGAGACGGUCGAUGCGGCGAGUGAAGAGCAUUCAUUUUUUAGCAUUUAUUUGAUCGUUCUGAGAAAAAUUGUCCGGUAACAUACACACACACAUGUAUUGCCCGUCUUGUGGCCUUUGCUUCAUUCGCCUUAUUCACCCGGAACGUUCUAAAGACGUUGAGGGGUACACUUCAGGGGUACAUUCGGCAACGCACCAGCUGUCAUAGCGCCUCACUGUUGUGUGCCCAAAUGUUCGUCCUCAAAGAGAAAAAAUCCUACCGUGGACAGACUUUCCACCGUUUCCACAAAGAGCAGGCACUUCGCCGUGAAUGUAUAAAUCAAAUCAAGAGGGAUCCUGGUCCAUAUUUCAAGAUCAACGCUGAGACCAAGGUUUGCUCUGAGCACUUUGAGAAGCAGUGUUUUGUAAAGACCGCCCGUUGAAUCACAAAGCUUAUAAAGGAUGCUGUGCCAACUUUGUUCGCCUGGACUUAAGAGAGGCCAAAGAGGAGAAUCAUCAUUCGCAGACCGAGUACGGAUUCCAUGGAGGUGGAUGAAAACCAGCCUGAUGAGAACCAACCUGAUGUGAGAAGGGAUGCCUUGAGCACAGAUGUACCUCCUCCACACCCGUACCAUGAUUAUGCUGUUCCACCGCUGACACCAGAGGAACAACUUGAGGCGGCUCGCAAGCACAUCAUUGAGCAAGACAAGUUAAUAGCACAACUCAAAGAUAAAGUGUUCAGUGUGUCAAGAUUCCAGUGUGAUGAUAGUCCGAUGUCAUUUUACACAGGAUUCCCAGACUAUGCCACCUUUAAAGCUGUAUAUAUGGCUCUACAGCCCACAGCCACAAGCAUGGUAGGAUGGAGUCAGGCUCAAAGGCUUAGACAAACAGAGGUACAGGUCAUUAGACAGGCAUUUAAUAUCUCCAAACUAGCAACUAUGGACCAGUUCUUUCUCUUUCUCUGUUGCCUCAGACAGGGGUUUGCUGAGCAGGACCUUGCGGUGCGCUUUGGUGUGUCACAGUCAACUGUGAGCAGAAUCUGUCACCUGGGCUAACUAUCGAUACUUCAUGUUAGGAUCUCUCCCCAUUUGGCCUUCAAAAGCCACAGUAGAUGAAUGUAUGCCUACUUGUUUUCAAAACACUUACCCAGACACCAGAGUCAUUCUAGACUGUACAGAAAUAUAUGUGCAAAUGCUUAGUUUGCAGGUACUUAACUCCAAAAUCUAUUCCCAUUACAAGGGCAACCCAAAUUUCAAAGGCCUGAUUGGAAUUGCCCCGUCUGGUGAGGUGUCAUUCGUUAGUGACCUGUACACAGGCUUCAUAUCCGAGAAGGAGAUUACAGAAUUGUCCGGCAUCCUAG